rnacentral:tRNA from 1 species
ACCGAAAUAGCAUCGCUGGAAGAGCACUGGACUUCUGAGCGGGAGGGCCCUGGUUAGAUCCCGGGUUUCGGCA